AGCGAACGCUGGCGGCAGGCUUAACACAUGCAAGUCGAACGCCCCGCAAGGGGAGCGGCAGACGGGUGAGUAACACGUGGGAACGUACCCUUUGGUUCGGAAUAACUUGGGGAAACUCAAGCUAAUACCGGAUAAGCCCUUAUGGGGAAAGGUUUACUGCCGAAGGAUCGGCCCGCGUCUGAUUAGCUAGUUGGUGAGGUAAUGGCUCACCAAGGCGACGAUCAGUAGCUGGUCUGAGAGGAUGAUCAGCCACACUGGGACUGAGACACGGCCCAGACUCCUACGGGAGGCAGCAGUGGGGAAUAUUGGACAAUGGGGGCAACCCUGAUCCAGCCAUGCCGCGUGAGUGAUGAAGGCCUUAGGGUUGUAAAGCUCUUUUACCCGGGACGAUAAUGACUGUACCGGGAGAAUAAGCCCCGGCUAACUUCGUGCCAGCCGCCGCCGUAA
rnacentral:rRNA from 1 species